AUUGCAUGGCACAAUUCAGCCUUUGCCCUUGUGCAGGUUUACUUCUUAUGCACUACCAAUACCAUAUGAGACAACAAAGCCAGGUUCUAGAAAAUCAGUUAAUGAAAAUGGGUCUCGAGAAUGGGGCACAUAUGAGUGGACGCAUACGAGGUACCAUGACGACAAGCAUUAUUGCAACACGAAGACGACCUGACUGUCAUAUUGGUGGUGACUGAGUCCUUUCCGUUGGUUGAACUUGCAUUUUCUGUGUUUGUUGCUAUGUUUCGCCGUAUAUGUUAUGUUGUAUUGCGAAAUAGUUAUGUUUUUAGACAGUGCGUACUUGAUGCAAUUGAUGGUGAUAAAGAUUUUCUGUAAUAUUUUUAUAUUUUAUAGUC